rnacentral:rRNA from 1 species
UACAGAGGUCCCAAGCGUUGUUCGGAUUCACUGGGCGUAAAGGGUGCGUAGGCGGUCGGGUAAGUCUGAUGUGAAAUCUCACAGCUUAACUGUGAUACUGCAUUGGAUACUAUCCGGCUCGAGGAAUGGAGGGGAGACUGGAAUACUUGGUGUAGCAGUGAAAUGCGUAGAUAUCAAGUGGAACACCAGUGGCGAAGGCGAGUCUCUGGACAUUUCCUGACGCUGAGGCACGAAAGCCAGGGGAGCAAACGGG